rnacentral:rRNA from 1 species
GAUGAACGCUAGCUACAGGCUUAACACAUGCAAGUCGAGGGGAAACGGCAUUAAGUGCUUGCACUUUUUGGACGUCGACCGGCGCACGGGUGAGUAACGCGUAUCCAACCUUCCCAUGACUAAGGGAUAACCUGCCGAAAGGCAGACUAAUACCUUAUGGUCCUCACUGACGGCAUCAGAUGUGAAGUAAAGAUUUAUCGGUUAUGGAUGGGGAUGCGUCUGAUUAGCUUGUUGGCGGGGUAACGGCCCACCAAGGCAACGAUCAGUAGGGGUUCUGAGAGGAAGGUCCCCCACAUUGGAACUGAGACACGGUCCAAACUCCUACGGGAGGCAGCAGUGAGGAAUAUUGGUCAAUGGGCGAGAGCCUGAACCAGCCAAGUAGCGUGCAGGAUGACGGCCCUAUGGGUUGUAAACUGCUUUUGUAUGGGGAUAAAGUCAAUCACGUGUGAUUGUUUGCAGGUACCAUACGAAUAAGGACCGGCUAAUUCCGUG